AUUCUCCUGCUUCAGCCUCCCGAGUAGCUGGGACUAUAGGCCCGGCCACCACAACCAGCUAAUUUUUUUUUUUUUUUUUUUUUUUUUUUUAGUAGAGACGGGGUUUCACCAUGUUAGUCAGGAUGGUCUCUAUCUCCUGACCUCGCGAUCCGCCCGCUUCGGCCUCCCAAAGUGCUGGGAUUACAGGUGUGAGCCACUGUGCCCGGCUGAAAGCCUGAUAUAUCUUUCUACCAUAGCAAGAACUAGCAGCACCUUACCCAGUAUGAGACCGACCCAGGUCUGCCUUAAUAUAUAUACCGUAAUAUAUACCUAACAGUUUUUUUUUUUUUUUUGAGAGGGAGUCUCGCUCUGUCGCCCAGGCUGGAGUGCAGUAUCGCGAUAUCGGUUCGCUGCAAGCUCCGCCUCCCGGGGUCACGUCAUUCUCCUGCCUCAGCUUCCGGAGCAGCUGGGACUGCUGGCGCCCGCCACUACGCUCGGCUAAUUUUUUUGUGUUUUUAGUAGAGACGGGCUUUCACCGUGUUGGCCUAGCGGUUCUCCAACUCCUGACCUCAUGAUCCCCCCGCCUCAGCCUCCCAAAGUGCUGGGAUUACAAGCGUGAGCCACCGCGACCCGCCAACACUCUUGACAACAGUGCUGUGCUAAGAACUUGGGGGACUUCAAAAAGUUCACCAGUUCCUGUGUCCAUGGGUGAAAAGAUUUUCUACAUCUUUCCUUGACUAGAAACAGAAGUCCUGAAACAAGAAUAUAACGUCAGGAGGCCAGAGGCUUUGUCCUGCCUAAUGUGUUAUUUCCACACUGAAUAAAAGCACCUGAGUCCUGAUUUGAUCGACAUUGUUUAUUCCAUUGAAAGCCAUUGCAAGAGUCCAUGCAACAUAUCCCAAUUCAG
rnacentral:lncRNA from 10 species